rnacentral:rRNA from 1 species
UACGUAGGGGACGAGCGUUGUCCGGAUUCAUUGGGCGUAAAGGGCGCGUAGGCGGCUUUGCAAGUGGCGGGUGAAAUCCCUCGGCUUAACCGAGGAACUGCCUGCCAGACUGUGAGGCUUGAGACCGGGAGAGGUGAGUGGAAUUCCCAGUGUAGCGGUGAAAUGCGUAGAUAUUGGGAGGAACACCAGUGGCGAAGGCGGCUCACUGGACCGGAACUGACGCUGAGGCGCGAAAGCGUGGGGAGCAAACAGGG